rnacentral:tRNA from 1 species
AGGAUUAUAGUUUAUUAAAACAUUUGAUUUGCAUUCAAAUAUUAUUGAAUUAUUCAAUUUAUCUUA